AUGGUAGAGUGGCCAGACGGAAGCCACUCCAUAGUAAAAGGCACAUGACAGCCGGCUUGGAGUUUGUCAACACCCUGACCUGUACGAUGAUGACCGUGGCAAGAAGAAGUGGCUGUCCAUGGACUCAGUUGUGACCUCUCGGCAGUUGUGUUGGACAAAUGUUUGACAACGGAUCUCUCACAAAUGGCCAGAUUCAAACAUUCAGGCCAUCUGGAGGCAUUCCACAGUGCUCUCCUGAAGUACACCCCCAAAGCGGCAGCAUUUUGGGCUCCUAGGCAUGAAGGUGCGGACACAUCUUGCUAUCCUGGAGCAUAAUGAGAAUGUGGGACACAAACAAGCGAGGACAGCCAGGGGACACUAGCAGUACAAACAAGUCUUCUGCAAGAGGUCGAAGCAGUGGGUGGUGAAGAAAGUGCCCAGAACCUAUCACUAUAGGAAGAGGCAAGACGGUGGUCUACAAGCAGCCAGAGUCACAGCUCCCAAAACCCAACAUCCCUGCCGACAACGCCACAACGCCAAAGCCUGCUAAACCAGCUGUCAUUGCCCAAUACAAGACAAGGUUUACCAGCUGAAGAACAUUCAGGACCCUGCCUGGAACAUUCAGCCAACAUAACAUACAUAUUCAGUAAGACUGAUGUUGUAGUAUAAUAUAGAAUGCCCAGUAUGUUCACAACUGCAUUGUGGUAUAGAUAUUUCUAGGUCUUGUACAGAUGUAUAAAAUGGAGUUUGAUCAAAUGUUUUAUAUAAUAUUUUUUUACAAGUGUACUGACAAGUGACAAAAUGUUACCAGUUGCAUCAGAAACCAAUACUGCCCUACCAAGCAAAAGAGCAGUAAUGGCACAUUUGGGCAAAAAUGACUUACUGACAUUUUCGAUACAUUAAAUACAUGCUUUAUCAUGUGGACAAAUGUCCUGCUUCCACUGUGUUGUGUU